rnacentral:lncRNA from 1 species
UUGCAACAAAGGAUAGGCACUACCCGCAGGCGCCCGCAGAAACUGCAAUGUUGGUUGUGGGUUGGGUAAACUUGCUUUCAUUCACUGUUGUGUUGUAGACAGCAUGUUUUAACUUAGGUGACAGUUUGUAAAUCCAUUAGUGAUAAGAUUUAUUCAUUUUGUAAUUUGUUUGAUUCUUUUCCUUAGUAGAAAAAAGUGGCAGGGUCACCAUCAUCUUCCUUCCAAUGAGGAGGGAAAGGCCAUUUAUCACAAUUUCUUCAAUGUGGAUCCUCAUAAAUGUGACUUAUACCAGUACAUCCUCAGGCUAUUGUUCCAUCCAUUUGUGCUGCAGAUGGCUUUCAUAUGGUCUUAGUCUGACAAAGCUAGGUGCUAAGAAAGAACAGCUUUGAAGUGCAAUAGUUAUUGAUGCACAUGUCUCUGAAGAUAACUUCCAACAAGGCCCUAAAUAGUAAAUACACUUCCAAUACGCCUGAGAUGAUUUCAGUCAAAUUUAAGCGCAGGUAGGCUAUCCAAUGUUCAAUGCAUGUGUUAAGUGCUUUGAGGCACCUUAGGCUAAGCUUCGUUCUUUCUCAGAGUUGUCGAACUAUAGUCUCCAGUGCUCCCCUCGCCUAUAUCAGUUGUCUACCCCUGUACUCCUGACUCCCUCUGUCUUUCAUUCAUCCAGGUUACGCCAAUGUUCUGCGCAUACAGUUGCUGCUUUUUGGUGCGCACACACCCCAGGCACUCCAUCUCGUCAACGCCUGAGAAGUUGGUGAAAGUGCCUCCUGCCAGACUUGCUGGAUGGCUACUACCUACACUUGCUAGCUGAACUGAAGCUCCUCCAACUAGCUGGCAUGGCUCUCGGCAGGUUGGCUUACGCGUGGAACGCUGCAGACGCAAUCAUCGCCAGCCUCACACAUGUCGAAAAUCAGGCAGACUACAUCAGCUGCUCACUGAUAUGGGCCAAAGAAGGCUCGUUGCUGGCGGUGGUUCUGGAGACAACGGUUCGAUCCAUCUGUAGGACGUCACCUGCAGGAAGUAGCAUUGUGAUGGCCAACCACGUGGCGCGUGUAUCCAGCCACAUUGUCCAGAAACCAUCACAUCAUCUCCAGGUCACUGGUCGCGGGUGCUCGAGCUGACUGUGUCUUCAACGGCUCCACGGUGACCAGCGCCGCCACCGCCGAGACCAUCCGAUUCCUGAAAUGAUAAUGGCCGUACACGAACAAGAGGCUCUAUGCAUCCAGGUGCAAGUCAAGCGCCAUGCUCAGAGGCGUCAUCCGGAGAAGGCCGCACAGUGCACUUUAGGCUGAGCUCGGGUGUAGUGCGCGCUGACGGAUAGGAUGAAAUUACGGGCCGGCCAUCAGAUUUCAGUGCGGGGAUCAAGAUGGUCGGAGCUGACGUGGCUCGGUUGAUGGUGUAUCAGGGUUGAUUGAGAGUGGAGGUGAGACACCCGGAUCUGUGAAGGAUACGCCGAUACGGGUCUCGACGUCGUCUCGCAAUUUGUGCUAUGUAAUAUGACGGCUAUGCCGUGGUAUCAUUCACUCUCGAUGCGCUAAUAAGUAAUAAAUAGGACAGAGACUGGAAUUAAGAUUAUUAUAUUUGGAUGUAAGGGGAAGGUUUUGGCCAGCGCUAUAUUAGAAAUCGUGAGCGUGCUAGUUGCAAUCAAUCGCGCGCUUCUUGCUGAGCAUCUGUGAGCGAGAAAAUACUUUCUCUGGAACGUUCGUCGUAAAAUAUGUGUAUCUUUGGAAUAAGUUGUCAGAACAUGAAUGAAUUUUUGGUGUCCACUGCAGCUGCUGUUCUGGAACAGAAACAUGCCGAGAUCGGCUGUGUAUGUACUAUGUACGCUGUGGCA